rnacentral:lncRNA from 1 species
GGAGUUUUUAGCCUUUUAACAUUCAAGGAUUAGAGCUCCCUCUUUGCCCACUAGCAGGGCAUUAGCUGGUGCUGAAGACAGUGGCUGCUUGGCGAGCCUGGAUCUCCAAGUGACCCCCUCAGCAACUCCUGAUGAACAGGACUGAAGCCAAUAUUAAAGCAAGUCAACCAAAGGUUCUCUGGUGUAGACAAGACAGCAAAAGGACAGACUACCUUGUGGAACCUAGCAUUGUUCUCCUUCUGCAGCACUAAGUAACAUUUGUUCUCCGUUAAGAUCUUUGCAAACCACACACAAGAAUUGCUGGUCAUCCUGCCAAUAGAUGCUGCUCACAGAACCAAAUUUCCUGUGCUGAAUUGUCACUCAUGGGCUUGAGAGUAGGAGACUGGAGACCAAGGUGGCUAGAAUCCAGUUGGGCCUGAUGUCUCCCUGUUGAAAGGGCUCCUUGUGGAAUGAAUAGCACAUGGCUCCUGUGGUGGAUCUGAUAGUGGCAUAGCACCAAGUGAUGCAGGCCUGCCAGGGGCCACAGACACAGAAGAUGCUCCCGGGGUCCCCCAUGUACUCCAGACACACUGCAGGCCACCUCUCCCAGCAGGUUGCCAGUCAUGGGCCCCAUCAUCAUGACUUCUGUCCAAGGUGUGCUCGGAAAUCUCUUCCUUAACUGUGACUUUCUGACAGGUGGAGGAUGUGGUCAGGAGUGGGAAAAGGAUUCGAGACGGGAAGAGGGAGGGGUUCAGGAUGAAGAGAGAUAAUCUGUGCCACAGAUGCUGGCCCUGCAGUUAGCUCCCACCUAGUCCGUGCACACACAUUCUAAUCCCCUCCCAUUCCUUUACAUGCUGCGGCCAGAGAGGCCUUUCUCAAAGUGGAAGUCUCAUCCUCACUUCUCUGGUUACAGUGCUGGGCCAUGGUAACUUACAAGGCUUAGCAGGAACUGUCUGCGCACUCCCCCUUCCUGCCCACUACCUUGUUUCCCUCCAGUUGCGAGAGAAAACAUUGAUUGAGCAUUAACUAUGUGCCAGGCUUGUCCUAAGUCCUUUGCAUGUAUUCACUCAAACAAUCCUCACAACAUUCCUAUCACAUCUCCCAUUUCACAGUGAGGGUUCUAAAGCACGUAGUGGGUGAGGAACUUGUCCAGGGUCACACAACUAAGUGGGGGUGGAGAAACAUCAAAUCUAGGUGGUCCAGGUGGUGGCCAGAACCCAUCAGCACCUCACUACAGCUGCCUCCAGUUUCUCGCUCUAGGAAAUACUCUUCCCUGUCAACUCCUGUUGUCCUCUGGGCUCAGUUGACAUGUCAUCUCCUUGAGGAGGACAUCCUGAGAUGCUCCCCGACUAGGGUGGGCACCCACUUCCACACUCCAAAUGCCUAUUUGACCUGUGUAUCGCUGCAUCCCCACUGCCUGGCAGAUAGCAGGCCCCUAAUAAAUAUGAUUUGAGCAAAUAAAUAUAGUUCUUCAAAAAAUAGGGAGGACUUCUUGCUUCAGGUAAUGGUAGGCUAGGACAUUUGGACCAACCCUCCUGCAGAAAAUAGCCAUUUAUUUUGAUGCAAUAUAUCUGGCUAUGACUAGAGAUUUCAAAUAUUUGGAGGGCUAUUAUGUGAAGAACUAAACUUACUCUUUGUGACAUAGAGGUCAGAAAUUGGUCGUUUCCAUAGAGUAUGAGAGAGACAGAAUUGUGCUCAUCAUAAGUAUCUUUUUUAAAAGUUAGACUUAAUAAAAUGGGCUGCCUUGGUAGGUGGUGAGUUCUCUGUCACGAAAGAGAUUCAGCCACUUGCUCUGAGAAAGCAUGGAGAAUAUCAACAUUGUAAGGGUCGACCACCUCAUCUCUGAGGCCCCCUCCUCACUUAGGUUGCCAUUGCAGGUGGAACACUGGGCUGAGUGUCAAAGAACCUGGGUUCCACAAGCUGUGCGACCAUGGCUGGUUGUUUUGGAUCUCAUUCCUAAUAUCUGUUAGUUAAGCUGACCCGUCAAUACUGACCCACUUCACAGAGUUAUGAAGGGAUUAAAUUAGGAAUUUUUAAAAUGGAAAAAAAAAACUCACCUGCAACCCCACAAUCUAAUACAAUAAUCAUACUUUUUUCCCUUUAUUCUCCUUUAUUGUGACCAAGGAUGACUUUGGGCAUUGCUGUGAGGAACUAUUUCGUUUAACACCCUACUACCUGAACAUGAUGCGUACUCAGCCUUUCACCACCCCCCAAGUAGCUACACAUGAUGUGAUAAUAGUAUUGGUGGUGGUUUUAGAGAGUUGGAGAGAAAACUGAAGUUGGAUUUGGGUAAAAGAAAAAAGAGUGGGAAUUAUUUUUUCUCCAUUCUAAAGCCCAUAAAGCAAUGUUAAUUGUUCCCACCCCUCUGCUAUUCUGUCUCCUCAGGUACUGUGUGCAGAAAUGUGAUUGAGAUUCAAGUCAGGGCCUCUCUGCCCUUUUCCCUCCAGAAACAAAACCAAGAUAAUUUAUCCUGAACACGGUGAAAAAAGGAAGGGAGGGAGGAGAAAAAGUCCGGGUCUCACCUGGGAUUCUCUGUCUCCUGCAACAUGAAGGAUUUAGCCUGGGAGGAGGUGGUGAGAACUCUGGGAGAGAAAAAAGAAGGAAAGAAUAGUUUUACCCAUGCUGAAGUUAAUUUAAACCUUCACCUAGAGAAGCAAAAAAAAAAAACCCACACUUUCCCAUUUUGUGCCUCCCUUCCUAGAGUUUUAGCCAAAGGUUUAGCUAAGUAAUUGGUUUUACCAGCGCACUCACUCCUCCUAUCCCAAGUCUGUUUGACUCCCUCCCCAUCAUCCUCCUCACCUCUUUUCAGGCAGGGUGGGGAUAGCAGCAGGAGGAGAUUUUGGGAGCCUGGCAACUCCUGCAAGGACCGCAGGACAGCCCCUCUGUGGGGAUGCGUGGUGCCCCAUCUGCCGCCCUUCUGAAGAAUGCACUGCCUUCACUUUUUACUGUGUUAGAGUCCAUCCAGACUGUUCUAUCCAAAAAAGUUUCUUUUUCCCCCACAGGCAAUCAGGAAAUGAUUCCUUUCCCGACUGCUUCUGUCUAGUGCCUGGGAAUCUUGAGUCAAUCCCUCAGUAAGUCAGUGACUAGGGAAAUCCCUCUCUGAGCCUCCCAGUUCAUGUUGCUUAGGGAACCUGAUAUUUUCGUGAAACCUGCCUACACAUGGGCAGCCCAACAGCAGAACAAAUGGUGGUGACCAAAGUGAACAAAGAAGUAUAGUUGUGCCAGCUUCGUAGUUGCCCAUGUGGACAAGUCAGCAGGAUCAGGACACGAGGAAGAGUAAAUGUGAGACAGUCAAUGUGACUUCUGCGAUAAACAGAUUUUUAAACCCCGAAAUUUUGCAAAAUUUUGGUGAAACCUGAACUUUCUUCGUUGCAUAUACUGGCACUAUCUGUACCAUCAUACAACUGUCUCACAUUAAAGCUAUUUUUCUUGGGCACUGAUGAGUAAGGUUGGUAUAAGUUCCUCAGAUCAACAAAAACCCAUUUUCCUGUAAGUCUUACAUUUAGUAUUUAAGGAACUAAAACUUAAAUACAUUUUGUGAAAUGGUUGACACUUCACUGAUAAUGAUUUAUUGCUUGGAUUAAUAAAUUUUCCAAAAGUUGUCUUAUGUAGAAUAUGGUUUGCAACCAGCAGAACCAUUAAUCUAUACUGCAAUGAUAUGCACUAUGUAUAAUUGUUUAAAAGCCUCUACUUAAUGAUGUAAAAUGCUCUAUUUAAUUACACAUUUGGGUAAACUGUAUACUAACAUCUGAUGGCAUUUUUCCACUGUUUGUUGCUUUUUUCAAAUACUUUAUUGUACAAAGCUGUUCUUAAUAUUUUUCAAGUUUUUUUCUUUGAAUUUUGCUAAUGUUUUCCUUGAAUUAUGAGCACUGACAGAAUGUGCUUAGCACUUUUGGCUAUUCACACAGCUUUUGAGCAUGAUUUGCAUCCAAUAUUUACAUUGCUAGCAAUAAUAAGCCAUCUGUGAGUUUUGUCAAAAGUUAUUGGGGAUUUUUUAAAUUUUAGAAAUGCAAAUUAUUGUUUCUUUGAACUAACUCUUAUGCAGUUGCAAAGGCAUUUCCAGUUGUUAUAGUUUGUGUACAAUAUCAGGUGUUCCAGAUUAUGAUUCAUUAUUAAUAUCAUUGCUUCCUUGUUCCCUCUGAGGUCCAGAAGAUUCAUGUUUACAAUAUUUAGAAACAAUGUUAAAAAGGUAUCCAAAGUUUGUCACUUUAUUAUUAGUUUGUUCUUAAUAUUCUGUUUAAGUUUUUGAAUUCAUAGAUAUCAAAACGCUGCACAAUUAUGAUUUCCACAGGAAUAACAACACACUAACAAUAAGAACCAAAAACAGCAAAUAGGCUGCCUACAAGUUUUGACAAUAUUAGGAUAAUGAUAAUGACAGUUUUUCUAAAUCUCACAGUAAAGAAUGCAGCAACCCAGCAACACUGCUACCUGUGGCCUCAGGCUGCAGUGUCAGCUCUUCCCUGGGUCUCCAGCCUGCCAGUCUAACCUGAAAAUUAUGUACUUGCCAGCCCCCACAGUCACGUGAGUGAACUGGCCCAGGCUGGUCACCAGGGUCAGUUUCUCUGUGUGUCAUUAAUUCAUUCAGUCUUCAGCAGUCUCUUUGGAGCUGAGAUGUACCUACCAUCUGCCUUUUGGGUGCUUAGGGUGGAGAACCAGAAAAGUAUAACCUAGUGUGUAUCCUCAAAGAGCUAACAAUAUGGGGUGGUACCUAUAGGUCUGGAAACACUUUACUGACUCUGUGAGGCAUACCAGGAGACGUCAGAGAACAGUCCCUCCUCAAAUGCCAAAUGAGAUGCAGAAGAAAUAGUUUGCUCAAGUUCAUGGGCCAGAUAUCCCAGUGGUCAGGGAGUUUCAUGAAUGAGAUGGAACUUUGCAUGGAACCCGAGGGAUGUGUAUGAUUUGAGUAGAUGAAGAAAAUGAGACUUUCCAAGCAGCUAGAAGUUAGGGAGCAGCAAGAUGUGUGGUGGGAUUGAGCACAGUUGGUUCAGAGGAUAGACUGCAGUUUUAAUAAUUUGUAGUAAAUAUCUCCCAACUGUUUGGCACUAUUGGAGCAAGUUCUUGAAUGCCAAAUGAAGGCAUAAAUCAGUAAGAGGCAUAAUAAAAGGCUGAGCAGUGCUUGGCUUUUUACGAACUGAUCCUGAUAGGAGCAGCUGUUCAACAAAGUUGCCAGGUCACCGUUACAUAGUCCCUGCCUUCUAGGGGCUCACUGCCUACUGGGAGAGACAGUCUGAAAGUUGGUGGAGCAUGUAACUGUUGGAUGAGGAGUUUGAGCCUGUGGACUGUGGGACCCCCGAGGAGGGUGUGGCUACUCUAGGCAGAACAAUCCCACAGUUUAUUUAUAUUUAACCUUGAAAUUCAUUAGAGGAUUUUUCAGCAGAGGUUUGGUACUUGUUAAUGUUAAGGUUUGCAUUCUCUAGAACCUCAAGGAAAGCUGUACCGUGCAUAAUGUACCCUCUUAUGUUAAUGUUGUGUACUGUGAUCCUGUUUCAGGGACUUGCACUUAGGAAUCUGUUACAGUGAGCACAGAAGCAGACCUGUGGGCUCAUAGUCUUCACCCCCCACCCAUAUAUACAAGAUGAACAGAGUGGAGGUUAAACAACUUGACUAAACAACACAGUUCAUGGUAAAGCCCAAGACUGUACCUGCCCAUCCACUGCCUUUUCCAUGUAUCCUGGAACUGAGCAUAGACCUCUUCCCAGGCAGAGCUGACAGCAAGUAAAGGAGAUCAUAAUCAGGGGACCAAACAACUUUGUCUAAAGUGUGAAUGUCACCUAAGGAGAAGCUGUGAGAUCAGAAGGGUGGGGCAGAGGAGCAGACACCAUGAGGGAGAGUCCUUGGGGGUACAUCUGCCAGACUGACACUGUCUGGCCUGGGCAGUGGAGGGGCUAGCAGGAACCACAGGUACUGGUGGUGUGGCUACUACCGUUACAACUGCCUGUGCUUGGACAUGGACCCUCUGCAAUAUGCGGCAGUUUCAUUCAUUGCCCCCUACAUUCUACACCAAGUAGAAAUGGAAGGCAAUUGGAUACUUCACAGACAAGAUCUAAGUGGAGAAGGAAUGCGUCCUGUGGCUGCAGAGAUCCUUGGAGCUUGGAGGGGAGAGCUUGAGCCCCACUGAUGAUGACCUCCCACAGCUCGCCAACUCAGCCCUCCCUAAGUCCCCAUCGGGGGCCAAUUCUCACUCUGGGGUUGGGGGGACUCCACCAUAGCUCAUCCAUCAUAGGGAUGUUGGUAUCUACUGUGGGUUGGGUAGGGCCGAUGUGCUGAGGAUGGCUCCCCCACAAGCAAGAGAUGUGGAUUUGGGGAGCUUCCCAUCUUGUGUUGAAGGAACAUAACUCAGAAUAAUAAGAGCCAACUAUAACAAACCCACAGCCAACAUCAUACUGAAUGGGCAAAAGCUGCAGGCAUUCCCCUUGAAAAGUGGCACAGGAUAAGGAAGCCCUUUCUCACCACUCCUAUUCAAUAUAGUGUUGAAAGUCCUGAUCACAGCAGUCAGGCAACAGAAAUAAUAAAGGGCAUCCAAAUAGGAAGAGAGGAAGUCAAACUAUCCUUGUUUGCAGACAGUAUGAUUCUAUAUCUAGAAAACCCCAUAGCCUCAGCCCAAAAGGUCCUUCAUCUGAUAAUUUCAGCAAAGUUUCAGGAGACAAAAUCAGUGUACAAAAAUCACUAACAUUCCUAUACACAGUCGCCAAGCCAAGAGCCAAAUCAGGAGCACAAUCCCAUUCAUAAUUGCCACAAAAAAGAAUAAAAUACCCAGGAAUGCAGCUAACCAAGGAAGUAAAGGAUCUCUACAAUGAGAAUCACAAACGCUGCUCAAAGAAAUCAGAGAUGACACAAACAAAUGGAAAAACUUUCCAUGCUCAUGGCUAGGAAGAAUCAAUAUCAUUAAAGUGGCCAUACUACCCAAAGCAAUUUAUAGAUUCAAUGCUAUUCCUAUCAAACUAUCAAUUACAUUUUUCACAGAACUAGAAAAAACUUAAAAUUCAUAUGGAACCAAAAAGCCUGAGUAGUCAAGGCAAUCCUAAACAAAAAGAACAAAGGUGGAGGCAUCACAUUACCUAACUUCAAACUACAGGGCUACCAUGACCAAAACAGCAUGGUACUGGUACAAAAGCAGACACACAGACCAGUGGGACAGAAUAGAGAGCCCAAAAAUAAGGCCACAAACCUACAGCCAUCUGAUCUUCAACAAAGUUGACAAAAACAAGCAAUGGGGAAAGGUCUCCCUAUUCAAUAAAUGGUGCUGGGAUAACUGGCUGGCCAUAUGCAGAAGAUCGUAACUGGACCCCUUUUACUAUGUACAAAAAUUAAGAUGGUUUAAAGAGUUAAAACCCAAAAUUAUAAAAAUCCUGAAGAUAACUUAGGCAAUACCAUUCUGGACAUAGGAACUGGCAAAUAUUUCAUGAUGAAGACACCAAAAGCAAUUGUAACAAAAGCAAAAAUGGACAAAUUGGAUUUAAGAGCUUUUUCAUAGCAAAAUAAACAACAGGGCAGACAAUCUACCAAAUGACAGAAAAUUUUUGCAAACUAUGCAUCUGACAAGGGGCUAAUAUCUAGCAUCUAUAAGGAAUUUAAACACAGUUACAGGAAAAAAAAAACCCACUCCAUUAAAAAAUGGGCAAAGGACAUGAACAGACACUUUUCAAAAAAGACAUACAUACAGCCAACUAGCGUGUUAAAGAAAACCUCAAUUAUCACUGAUCAUUAGAGAAAUGCAAAAUCAAAACCAUGAUGAGAUAUCAUCUGCCAGUCAGGAUGGCUACAAAAAAGUAAAAAAAUAAUAGAUGUUGGUGAGGUUAUGGAGAAAAGGAACUUAUACACUUGUUAGGAGUGUAAAUUAGUUCAAUCACUGUGGACAGCAGUGUGGUGAUUCCUCAGAGAGCUAAAAACAACUACCAUUUGACUCACCAAUCCCAUUACUGGAUAUUUACCUAAAGGAAUAUAAAUCAUUCCACCAUAAAGACACAUGCAAGUGUAUGUUCAUUGCAGCACUAUUAACAGUAACAAAGCUGGGCACAGUGGCUCACCUCACGACUGUAAUCCCAGCACUUUGGGAGGCUGAGGUAGGCGGAUCACCUGAGGUCGGCAGUUUGAGACCAGCCUGACCAACAUGGAGAGACCCCAUCUCUACUAAAAAUACAAAAUUAGCCAGGUGUGGUGGCUCAUGCCUGUAAUCCCAGCUACUUGGGAGGCCAAGGCAGGAGAAUUGCUUGAACCCAGGAGGCAGAGGUUGCAGUGAGCCGAGAUCACACCAUUGCACUCUAGCCUGGUGAAGGAGCAAGACUCCAUCUCAAAAAAAAAAAAAAAAAAGAAAGAAAGAAAAAUACACAUUCAGAGGAGACAAAAAAUAAAAAACAAUGAUGCAUGCCCACAGGAUCUAGAAAAUAACUUCUUAAGGGCAAAUCUAGGAGUUAUUGGCCUUAAAGAAGAGAUAGAGAAAGAGAUAGGAAUAGAAAGUUUGUUGAAAGGGAUAAUAACAUAGAACUUCCUAAACCUACAGAAAGAUAUUUAUAUCCAAGUACAAGAAGGUUAUAGAACACCAGGCCAAUUUAACCCAAAGAUUACCUCAAGGCAUUUAAUAAUCAAACUCCCACAGGACAAGGGUAAAGAAAGGAUCCUAAAAGCAGCAAGAGAAAAGAAACAGAUAACAUACAAUGGAGCUCCAAUACAUCUGGCAGUAUAUUUUUCAGUGGAAACCUUACAAGCCAGGAGAGAGUGACAUGACAUAUGUUAAAGUGCUGAAGGGAAAAAACCUUUUACCCUAGAAUAGUAUAUCCAGCAAAAAUAUCCUUCAAACAUGAAGAAUAAACAAAGACUUCCCCAGACAAACAAAAGCUGAGGGAUUUCAUCAACACUAGACUGGUCCCAUAAGAAACGCUUAAGGGAGUACUUUGGUCAGAAAGAAACAGACAUUAAUGAGCAACAAAGAAUCAUCUAAAGGUAAAAAACUCACUGUUAAGAGUAAGUACACAGAAAAACCCAAAGUGUGAUAACAUUGUAACUGUGGUGUGUAAGUAGAAAGAAUAAAUGAUAAACCAAUCAAAAAUAGUAACUACAACUUUUCAAGACCAGUCAGAAAAAUAAGAUAAAAUUAGAAACAACAAAAAGUUAAAAAGUGGGGGGAUGAAGUUAAGAUGUAGAGUUUUUAUUAGUUUUUUGUUUGUUAAUGCAAACAGUGUUACCAGGUUAAAAUAAUGGGUUACAAAAUAGUAUUUGUAAUCCUUAUGGUAACCUCAAACCUAAAAACAUACACUGGAUACAUAAAAAAUAAAAAGCAAAAACCUAAAUCAUAUCACCAGAGCAAACUACCUUCCCUAAAGGAAGACAGGAAGAAAAGAAAGAAGAAGACCACAAAACAACCAGAAAACAAAUAAAUAACAAGGCAGGAGUAAGUCUUUACUUAUCGAUAAUACAUUGAAUGGAAAUAUGGACUAAACUCUCCAAUCAAAAGACAUAGACUGGCUGAAUGAAUGGAGAAAACAAGACCCAUUGAUCUGUUGCCUACAAGAAACACACUUAAACUAUAAAGACACACAUAGGCUGAAAGUAAAGAGUUGGAAAGAGUUAUUCCAUGCCAAUGGAAACCAGGAAAAAGAGAAGGAGUAUUGAUUUUGAUACAAAAACUAUGAGACAAAUAAAGUCACUAUACAAUGAUAAAGGGGUUAAUAUGGUUUCCAUUUGUGCCCCACCCAAAUUUCGUGUUCUAUUGUAAUCCUCAAUGUUGGAGGUGGGGCCUGGUGGGACGUGAUUAGAUCAUGGGGGUGGAUCUUUCAUGACUAAUUCAGCACCAUCUUCUUAGUGCUGUUCUCAUGAUAGUGAGUUCUUCUGAAAUCUGGUUGCUUAAAAGUGUGUAGCACCUCUCCACACCACCCGCUUGCCUUGGUCUACUCCUGCUAUGUAGAUGCUUGCUCCCACUUUGCAUUAUUCCAUGAGUAAAAGCUCCCUCAGGCCUUCCCAGAAUCAGAUGCCGCUAUGCUUCCUGAACAGCCUGUGGAACUAUGAGCCAAUUCAACCUCUUUUCUUCAUAAAUUAACAAGUCUUGGGUAUUUCUUUAUAGCAGUGUGAGAACAGAAUAAUACAGAAAAUUGGUAAAGAGGAGUGAGGCAUUGCUAGAAAGAUACCUGAAAAUGUGGAAACAGCAGUGGAACUGGGAAAUAGACAGAGGUUGGAAGAGUGUGGAGGGCUCCGAAGAUAGGAAGAUGAGGGGAAGUUUGGAAUUUCUUAGAGAUUUGUUAAAUUGUUUUGACCAAAAUACUGAUGGUGAUAUGGACAAUGAAGUCCAGGCUGAGGAGGUCUCAGAUGGAGAUGAGGGACUUAUUGGGACCUGGAGUGAAGGUCACUUUUGUUAGGACAUUGUGGUUGGAGACAUUGUGCCCCUGCCCUAGGAAUCUGUGGAACUUUGAACUUGAGAGCGAAGAUUUAGGGUAUCUGGCAGAAGAAAUUUCUAAGCAGCAAAGCGUUCAAGACGUGGCCUGGCUGCUUCUGGUAGUCUGUGCUCAUAUUUGUGAGCAAAGACAUGACAAGAAACUGGAACUUAUAUUUAAAAAGGAAGCAGAGUGUAAAAGUUUGGAGAAUUUGCAGCCUGGCCAUGUUGUAGAAAAGAAAAAAACCAUUUUCUGGAGAGGAAUUCAAGCUAGCUGCAGAAAAUUGCAAGUAACAAGGAGCAAAAUGUUGAUAGCCAAGAUAGUGGGAAAAACACCUUGAAGGCAUUUCAGAUACCUUGGGGGCAGCCUCUCCCAUCACAGGCCCAAAGGCCUAGGAGGGAAGGAUGGUUUCCUGGGCCAGGCUCAGGGUCCUGCUGCCCUGCACAACCUCAGGAAACUGCUCUCCAAAUCCCAGCUGCUCCAGCUCCAGCUUCAGCUCAAAGGGCCCCAGGUAUAGCUCAGGCUGCUGCUCCAUAGGAUGCAAGUUAUAAGCCUUAGUGGCUCCCGUGUGGUGUUAAAUUAAGCCUGUAGGUGCACAGAGUGCAAGAAUUGAGGCUUGGGAGCCUCCAACUAGAUUUCAGAGUAUGUGUGGGAAAGCCUGGAUGUCCAGGCAGAAGCCAGCUGCAGGGACAGAGCCCUCAUGGAGAACCUCUACUAGGGUAGUGUGGAGGGGAAAUUUGGGGUUGGAGUUCCCACACAGCUUCCCCUCUGGUGUACUGCCUAGUGGAGCUGUGAGAAGACAGCCACUGUCCUCCAGAUUCCAGGAUGAUAGAUCUGCCAAUGACAGCUUGCACUGUACAACUGGAAAAGCCACAGGCAGUCAAUGCCAGCCCGUGAAAGCAGUGACAGUGGCUUACCCUGCAAAGUCCCAGGGGCUGAGCUGCCCAAGGCCUUGGGAGCCCACCCCUUGCACCAGUGUGCCCUGGAUGUGAGAUAUGGAGUCAAAGGAGAGUAUUUUGGAGCUUUAAGAUUUAAUGACUACCUGCUGGGUUUCAGACUUGCAUGGGUCCAGUAGCCCCUUUCUUUUGGCCAAUUUCUCACUUUUGGAAUGGGAGUGUUUACCCAAUUCCUGUACCCCCACUGUAUGUUGGAAGUAACUAACUGUUUUUUUAUUUUGUAAGCUCACAGGUGGGAGAGACUUGCCUUGUCUCAGGUUGAGACUCUGGACUUUGGACUUUUGAAUUAAUGCUGGAAUGAGUUAAGACUUUGAGGGACUGUUGGGAAGAUAUAACUGUAUUUUGCAGUAUGAGAAGGACAUGAGAUUUGGGAGACACCAGAGGUGGAAUAAUAUGAUUUGGAUCUGCAUCCCCACCAAAAUCUCAUGUUCAAUUGUAAUCCUAAAUUUUGGAGGUUGAGCCUGGUGGAAGAGGAUUGGAUAAUGGGGGUGGUUUCUCAUGGUUUAACACCAUCCCCCUGGGUGCUGUUCUCAUGACAGUGAGUGAGUUAUUGUGAGAUCUGAUUGUUUAAAAGUGUGUGCCACCUCCUCCCACUUUCCUCCUGCUCCAGCCAUGUAAGACAGGCUUGCCUCCCCUUCACCUUUUGUCAUGAUUGUAAGUGUUCUGAGGCCUCCCCAGCCAUGCUUCCUGUACAGCCUGCAGAACUGUGAGCCAAUUAAACCUCUUUUCUCUAUAUAUUACCCAGUCUCGGGUAUUUCUUUAUAGCAGUGCAAGAAUAGACUAAUACAGGGUUCAAUUCAGCAAGAGGAUAUAACAAAUAUAAAUAUAUAUGCACUCAACACUGCAGCACCCAGAUAUAUAAAGCAAAUACGAUUAGAGCUAAAGAGAGAGAGUGACCCCAAUACAAUAAUAGCUGGAGACUUCAACACCACAUUUUCAGCACUGGACAGAUCUUCCAGACAGAAAAUAAAAAAGAAACAUCAGACUUAAUCUGCACUGUAGAUCAAAUGGAUCUAAUACAUACUUGCAGAACAUUUUAUCCAAUGGCUGCAGAAUACACAUUCUUUUUUAGCACAUGUAUCAUUCUCAAGGAUAGACCAUAUGUUAGGUCACAAGUCUUAAAACAUUAAAAAAGUUGAAUACCAUCAAGCAUCUUCUCUGACCACAGUGGAAUACAACUAGAAACUAAUAACAAGAGGAAUUUUUGAAACUACAAAUACAUGAAAAUUAAACAAUAUGCUCCUGAAUGACCAUUGAGUCAAUGAAGAAAUUAAGAAGGAAAUUGAACAAUUUCUUGAAACAAAUGAUAAAGGAAACACAACAUACCAAAACCUAUGGGAUACGGCAAAAGCAGUACUAAGAGGCAAAUUGAUAGCUAUAAGUGCCUACAUGAAAAAAGAGGAAAAACUUCAAAUAAGCAAUUUAACAAUGAACCUUAACCAGAAAAGCAAGAGCAAAACAAACACAAAAUUAGAAGAAAACAAAUAAUAAAAAUUAGAGCAUAAAUAAAUAAAAUUGAAAUAAAAAUCAAUGCAAAAGAACAAUGAAACAAAAAGUUGCUUUUUUUCAAAAGUUAAACAAAACUGACAAGCCUUUAGCAAGACUGAGAAAAAAGAGACAAGAUACAAAUCAGAAAUGAAAAAGACAUUACAACUGACACUGCAGAAAUUCAAAGGAUCAUUAGGGGCUACUAUGAGCAACUCUAUGCCAAUAAAUUGGAAAAUCUAGAAGAAAUUGACAAUUCCUAGACACAUACAACCUACUGAGACUGGACCAGGAAGAAAUCCAAAACCUGAACAGACUAAUAACAAGUAACAAGGUUGAAGCCAUAAUAAAAAGUCUCCCACUAAAGAAAACCAAGGACCCGAUGGCUUCACUGUUGAAUUCUACCAAACAUUUAAAGAAGAACUAAUACCAAUCCCACUCAAGCUAUUGAAAAAUAGAGGAGGAGAGAAUAUUUCCAAAGUCAUUCUAGGAGACCAGUAUCACCCUGAUACCAAAACCAGACAAAGACACAUCAAAAAAAGAAAACUGCUGGCCAAUUUCUCUGAUGAAUAUUGAUGCCAGAAUCCUCAGCAAAAUAUUAGCAAACUAAAUUCAACAAUACAUUAAAAAGAUCAUUCAUCAGGGUCGGGUGCAGUGGCUUAAGCCUCUAAUCCCAGCACUUUGGGAGGCCGAGGUGGGCAGAUCACCUGAGGUCAGGAGUUCAAGACCAGCCUGACCAACAUGGUGAAACCUCGUCUCUACUGAAAAUACAAAAUUAGCCGAGUGUGGUGGUGCAUGCCUGUAAUCCCAGCUACUCAGGAGACUGAGGCAGGAGAAUCACUUGAACCCAGGAGGUGGAGGUUGCAGUGAGCUGAGAUUGUGGCACUGCACUCCAGCCUUGGUGACAGAGUGAGACUCCAUUAAAAAAAAAAUCAUUUAUCAUGACCAAGUGGGAUUUAUCCCUGGAAUGCAAGGAUGGUUCAACACAUGCAAAUCAAUCAAUGUAAUACAUCAUAUCAAAAAGAAUGAUUAAAACCAUAUGAUUAUUUCUAUUGAUGCUGAAAAAGUAGUUUAUAAAAUCCAACAUCCCUUCAUGAUAAAAACCCUCAAAAAACUGUAUAAAAGAAAUAUACCUCAACGUAAUAGCCAGAUAUGACAGACCCACAGCUAGUAUCAUACUGAAUGGGGAAAAAGUGAAAGACUUUCCUAUAAGAUCUGGAACACAACAGGGAUGUUCACUGUCACCACUGUUAUUCAACAAAGUACUGGAUGUUCUAGCUAGAGCGAUCAGACAAGAGAAGAUAUAAAGGCCAUCCAAACUGGAAAGGGAGAAGUUAAAUUACCCUAGUUUGCAGAUGAUAUGAACUUAUAUUUGGAAAAAACCUAAAGGCUCCACAGGAAAACUAUUAGAAUCAAUAAAUUCAGUAAAGUUGCAGGACACAAAAUCAACAUAUAAAAACCAGUAGCAUUUCUAUAUGUCAACAGUGAACAAUUUGAAAAAUUUUAAAUUUAAGAAGGUAAUUUCAUUUACAAUAGCCACACAUAAAAUUAAAUACCUAGGAAUUAACCAAAAAUGUGCAAGAUAUCUAUGAGGAGAAUUAUAAAACAUUGAUGAAAGAAAUUGAAGAGGACACAAAAAAAAUGGAAAAAAUUCCAUCUUUAUGGAUUGGAAGAAUCAAUAUUGUUAAAAUGUCCAUACUACCCAAAGCAAUCUACAGAUUUAAUGCAAUCCCUAUCAAAAUACCAAUAAUAGUCUUCAGAGAAAUAGAAAAAAAAAUCCCAAAAUUUAUAUGAAAACACAGAAUGCCCAGAAUAGCCAAAAUUAUAUUAAGCAAAAAGAUCAAAACUGGAGGAAUCACAUUACCUGACUUCAAAUUAUGCUACAGAGCUAUAAUCACCAAAACAGCAUGGUACUGACAUAAAAACAGACACAUAGUCCAACAGAACAGAAUAGAGAACCUAGAAACAAAUCCACACACUCACAGGGAACUCAUUUUUGACAGAGUUGCCAAGUACUUAUACUGGAGAAAAGAAAAGACAGUCUCUUCAAUGAAAUGGUGCUGGGAAAACUGGAUAUCCAUAUGCAGAAGAAUGAAACUAGACCCCUACCUCUCACUGUAGACAAAAGUCAAAUCAAGGCUAGGCAUGGUGGCUUACACCUGUAAUCUCAGCACUUUGGGAGGCUGAGGCAGGCGUAUCACGAGGUGAAGAGAUUGAGACCAUCCUGACCAACAUGGUGAAACUCACCCCCCCCCACCCACUAAAAAUACAAAAAUUAGCUGGGCGUGAUGGCAUGUGCCUGCAGUCCUAGCUACUCAGGAGGCUGGGGCAGGAGAAUCGCUUGAACCCAGGAGGUGGAGGUUGCAGUGAGCUGAGAUUGUGCCACUGCACUCCAGCCUGGCGACAGAGCAAGACUCCAUCUCAAAAAAUAAAAAAUAAAUUCAAAAUGUAAUAAAGACUUAAAUCUAAGACCUCAAACAUGAAACUACUAUAAGAAAACAUUGGGGAAAACCUCCAGGACAGUAGUCUGGCCAAAAAUUUCUUGAGCAAUACCCCACAAGCACAGGCAACCAAAAUAAAACUGGACAAAUAGUAUCACAUCAAGUUUAAAAGCUUCUACAAAGCAAAGGAUACAAUCAAUAAAGAGACAACCCACAGAAUGGGAGAAAAUAUUUGCAAACUACCCAUCUGACAAAGAAAUAAUAACCAGAGUAUAUAAGAAGCUCAAACAACUCUAUAGUAAAAAAAAAAAAAAAAAAAAUUCUAAAAGUCUAAGUAAAAAAAUGGGCAAAAGAUUUGAAUAGACAUUUCUCAAAAGAAGACAUACAGGCCAUGCGUGGUGGCUCAUGCCUGUAAUCCCAGCACUUUGGGAGGCCCAGGCGGGUGGAUCACUUGAGGUCAGGAGUUCGAGACCAGCCUGACCAACAUUGUGAAACUCCGUCUCUACUAAAAAUACAAAAAUAAGCCAGGCAUGGUGGCGCACACCUGUAAUCCCAGCUACUCAGGAGGCUGAGGCAGGAGAAUCGCUUAAACCUGGGAGACAGAGGUUGCAGUAAGCCGAGAUCACACCACUGCACUCCAGCCUGGGCAACAAAGUGAGACUCCGUCUCACAAAAAAAAAAAAAAAAAAAAAAAAAAAAGAAAAGAAAAAGGAAGAAGACAUACAAAGCCAGGUACAGUGGCUUAUGCCUCUAAUCCUAGCACUUUAGGAGGCCAAGGCAGAUGGAAUUGAGCCCAGAAGUUUGAGACCAGACUGAGCAAUAUGGUCAAACCCCAAUUCUGCAAAAUACAAAAAUAAAAAAUAGCUGGGAGUGGUGGUGCACACCUGUAGUCCCAGCUACUUAGGAAGCUGAGAUGGGAGGAUCACUUGAGCCUGCAGUGAAUCAUAAUUGCACCAAUGCACUCCAGCCUGGGCGACAGAGUGAGAGACAUUGUCUCAAAAAAAAGAAAAAGAAAAAAAAGAAAGGACAUAAAAAUGACAAACAGGCAUAUGAAAAGGUGCUGAUGAUUAUUGAUCCUCAGAGAAAUGCAAAUCAAAACUGCAAUGAGAUAUAAUCUCACCCCAGUUAAAAUGGCUUAUAUCCAAAAGACAGGCAAUAACAAAUGCUGGUGAGGAUGUGGAUAAAAGGGAACCCUCGUACACUGUUGAUGGGAAUGUAAAUUAGUACAACCACUAUGGAUAACAGUUUAGAGGUUCCUCAGAAAACUAAAAAUUGAGUUGCGAUAUGAUGCAACAAUCCUACUGCUGGGUAUAUACCCCACAAAAGACAAAACCAGCGUUUUGCAUGGUGGCUCACACCUGUAAUCCCAGCACUAUGGGAGGCCGAGGAGGGCAGAUCACUUGAGCCCAGAAGUUCAAGACCAGCCCGAGCAACAUGGCAAAACCUGAUUUCUACAAAAUACAAAAAAAAAAUUAGGCAGUUGUAGUGGUUCACACCUAUAGUCCUAGCUACUGUGGAGGCUGAGGUAGGAUCACUUGAACCUAGGAGGUGGAGGUUGCAGUGAGCCAAGAUCAUGCCACUGCACUCCAGCCUGGGUGACAAAGUGUGACCCUGUCUCAAAAAAGAAAAUCAGUAUAUGGAAGAGGUAUCUGCACUCCUAUGUUUUUUACAACACUGUUUACAAUAGCUAAGAUUUGGAAGCAACCUAAAUGUCUAACAGCAGAUGAAUGGAUAAGGAAAAUUUGGUAUGUAUACACAAUGAAGUACUAUUCAGCCAUAAAAAGGAAUGAGAUCCAGUCAUUUGCAACAGCAUGGAUGGAAGUGGAGAUCAUUAUGUUAAAUGAAAUAAGCCAGGCACAGAAAGGCAAACAUGGCAUGUUCUCACUUAUUUGUGGGACCUAAAUUCAAAACAAUUGAACUAAUGGACAUAAAGAGUAGAAGAAUGGUUACCAGAGGCUAGGAAUGGUAGUGGGGGGCUGAAGGGAAGGUGGGGAUGUUUAAUCGGUAAAAAAAAAUUUAGAAGAAUAAGACCUACUAUUUGAUAGCACAAUAGGGGGACUAUAGUCAAUAAUGCACAUUUAAAAAUAGUGUAAUUGAAUGGUUUGUAACUCAAAGGAUAAAUGCUUGAGGGAAUGGAUACCCCAUUCUCCAUGAUGUGCUUAUUUCACAUUGCAUACCUGUAUCAAAACAUCUCAUGUACCCCAUAAAUAUAUGCAGCUAUUAUGUACCCACAAAAAUUGAAAAUCAAAAAUAAAAUAUUUUUUAAAAUGUAUUAUUAUUUGUCCUCUGUGAAUAAAACUCGCUUCUGGCCCUCCUUUUUAUAGGUAUUUAAAAGAAUGCAUUUAGGCAGAUCAAUGGCAUUAUAUAAUAUACAAAAACAAUAAAUCUUUUUUUUUUAAACAUAUCACAUUCAGCACAGCUGCUGAAGUUGGGGCUAAUUAUAGGUUACAUUUUCAUUAAUCCACUGUCAUCUGUUAUCAUCCAUCCAAUUUUUGCUAGAACUGGAGUGGUAAAUUCAAUAGUUGAUGAUGAAACCACAACCCCUGCAUCUUUUAUGUCUUUGAGUGACAGUUUAUUUCAUUGCCCCUCAAAUACUACAUUGUUUUAAAAUUUCUAUCUUGGUCGAUAUUAGAAGCUCUCUUAGGGGCAUCCACUUGGCCUUUCUUACUACAAAUCCUUUAUUCCACAGGUGAAAUGACUAAAGUGUGAGUGAAAUAACUAAUGUACAAAAUAAAUCCAUCAAUUACAUAUUUGGAAACCAGAAAAAUAACCACCAAGCAGAUGUGUGGACACAGAGAAUCCACGGAGAUACGGGUGGACCUGAGACAGGAAAUUAUUUUCAGUUCCCUGUGUGGCUCUCCUCUAAUAGAAGUCCAUGAGGGUGCUUUGGUUCCCCAGGUAUCAGUGUGAAAUUGGACCCUGUAUCCAAUAGACCUGAAAAUAUCUGGACAUUCCCCUUUAUCAGUGUCUUGAUACCUGAGUAAAUGGCCAUUGAUCCCUUUAGGGAAGGGUGUAGAAAGUGUCUACUGUACACACUUAUGGUGUUGCAGAUACUUCAUCAGGGGACGUGACUCUCCUUCAAUGAAUGGAUUCUGGAUCUAAGCACUGGCUCAGGUCUGGAAACUGGGCAAGGGAUUUUAAACUUCUAUUGGAGAAAUUAAUCUCAGACUUCAGCUCAUCUAUUUUUCAUCUAUUGAUUCUAAUAUUAAACAACAGUCUUAUAGGCUGCCCAACUAGAAACACCAUAGUCUUAAUAAUUUCCCUAAAUCCCUUGCAGUCAGGAUUUCCUGGCUUCCAUUCUAACAUUACUCACUAUUUUGGGGAUUUUGUCCAUUUUGAUUCUGCCUUGCUGCCAGCUGGCCUCUAGCUUUCUGGAAUCCUACUGUCCUAUUGUUGCUAGGGCACCAAGUUCUCCAAUAUCAUCUCAUAGAGUCAGCUCCAGCCCACAAAGGACAAAAUUAGGUUAAUACCCCGUUCACCUGCCCAUGACUUGCUGCCUGAUAAACAGAGUUUCCUUUGGGCCCUUCCAAAUAAACAGUCACCCAGUGCAUGAUCCAGUUUUAUAGAGUGUAUCUAUCUAUGCCAGCAUGCUCACUGCUCUGAGCCUUUUGGUCUCUUUCUCCACAAUCUGCCAUGGCAGCUCUGGCACAUCGAUUUUAUUUCAUGUGAGCCAUCAUUUUUCAUUAGAACAGUUUCAUUAAGAUAAAAUUCAUAUAUUAUUCAACCAUUUAAACUCAAUGGUUUUUAGCAUAUUUAUAGUGCAACCAUCACCACAAUCAAUUGUAGAACAUGUUCAUCACUCCAAAACUAUUUUUAGAACAUUUUCAUCACCCAUGUAUAUUUAUUCUCAGGCAGUCAUCCCCAUUUUUCCCUCCAACAUUUCCUCAGUCCUAGGCAACCACUAAUCUACUUUCUCUCUACAAAUUUAUUUCUUAUAGACAUUUCAUAUAAAUGAAAUAAUAUAAUGGAUGGUCUUUUGUGACUGGCGUCUUUCACAUAGCAUAAUGUUUUCAAGGUUCAUCCACAUUGCAGCAUUUAUUAGUACUGCAUUUCUUUUUAUGGCCAAAUAUUCCGUUCCAUAGAUUGACCAUAUCUUAUUCAUUCAUUUGUUCCUGG